UCUCUACUUGCGUAGGCAGUCUCACUAGAGUCCCCAACUGAAUGAUGGCAACUAGUGACAGGGGUUGCGCUCGUUGCAGGACUUAACCUAACACCUCACGGCACGAGCUGACGACAACCAUGCAGCACCUUGAAAAUUGCCCGAAGGACGGCCUAUUUCUAAACCAGUCAAUUCCCAUUUAAGCCUUGGUAAGGUUCCUCGCGUAUCAUCGAAUUAAACCACAUAAUCCACCGCUUGUGCGGGCCCCCGUCAAUUCCUUUGAGUUUCAUUCUUGCGAACGUACUCCCCAGGUGGCUAACUUAUCACUUUCGCUUAGUCUCUGAACCUUAAAAGCCCAAAAACGAGUUAGCAUCGUUUACGGCGUGGACUAC
rnacentral:misc_RNA from 1 species